UACGAAGGGUGCGAACGUUGCUCGGAAUUAUUGGGCGUAAAGCGCACGUAGGCGGCUUGGCAAGUCGGAUGUGAAAUCCCACGGCUCAACCGUGGAACUGCUUGGUAUACUGCUUUUCUUGAGCCACUUAGGGGCUGUCGGAACAAACGGUGGAGCGGUGAAAUGCGUAGAUAUCGUUUGGAACGCCAACGGUGAAAACAGACAGCUGGGAGUGUGCUGACGCUGAGACACGAAAGCCAGGGGAGCGAACGGG
rnacentral:rRNA from 1 species